rnacentral:lncRNA from 1 species
UUUGAAUGAAUAUUGUGUGAGAACGCAUGUUGUGUGAGGUAUUGAGCUCCAGAGUUUUCAUUGUUGUAUGUGUUGUUCACAGGAAAGCAUGAAUGAUAUUGCCUUAACCUUGAUGAUUGAUUGAAUUGCAUGUGAAUGUCAUAUGAUCAAGGCCAUUUUUGAAAACCCUUCUCUAGCCAAAUUUUCACCCAAAGUGCUUGAAAAUAUUAUACCCUUUUUGAACCUCAGCCUUAAACAGGAUGUGAACCCUUGUCUUGACAUUCUUUACCUUGAGUUGGGAUGAGCUUAAUUGUAUGUGAUGAAAAGGUUCAAGUUUGGGGUUGCAUGGGGGAAACUGAAAGGCAAUUGAAAAAGCAUUGAGCUCAAAAGUUGUUAAAGAAAAAUACAUGAGAAAAAGAAAAGAAAAGAAGAAAAAGCAUGAAGAUGAGCUUAGUGAAAAAGAAAAGGGAAAUAGUUGGGAAUAAGUGAGAUUGGUGAGGAAGAGAGUUGUUCUUGAAUGUUGAAUAUUAUGAUAGCUCUCUUAACUCAAGGACUUUGCAUUCCAAAAAAACCAAUUUUCUUGUUAGCCCAGCCUCAUUACAAGCCUUGGAAAAGUCCUUUUGAUGGCAUUUGCAUGUAAGAAUUUUGGUUGUUUUAGAUGAAUGGCAAUUUUGUUUCAUGUGACUAGUGAAUGUUAGAGAGUCGGAGUGUUACCUCAAACACUUAAGUGAUUGAGUGAAACACUUGCCUGGUGAGAAUUGCUAAAUUUCAUGAUUGC